UACGUAGGGUGCGAGCGUUGUCCGGAAUUAUUGGGCGUAAAGAGCGUGUAGGCGGCCCGGUAAGUCCGCUGUGAAAGUCGGGGGGCUCAACCCUCGAAUGCCGGUGGAUACUGUCGGGCUAGAGUGCGGAAGAGGCGAGUGGAAUUCCUGGUGUAGCGGUGAAAUGCGCAGAUAUCAGGAGGAACACCGAUUGCGAAGGCAGCUCGCUGGGACGUUACUGACGCUGAGACGCGAAAGCGUGGGGAGCAAACAGG
rnacentral:rRNA from 1 species